AUUUGGGGAGAGGGGAGGGAGAGGAGGACAUAGAGGGAGUAAAUUUAGGUACUAUUAUCUUGUAAAAUGAUAACAUUAUGACUUCAUAAUUGAAAUCAUUUUGCAUAGUAAAAAAAUAUCAUAUGCCAGUUACCACCUGGCAGGACCCCAUGCCCUUCUUUCAUUACAUAAAGAAGGUAAUUUAAUUGAGAAAGUGUCGUAGAAAUAUAGAAGGGUGGCAAUGUGUAUAGUGGAUUAAUGCCUUGCCUUUUCGUCUCCAGGGGCCUGCCUUGAAAUUUGAUUUGGGCCACACGUGAAACAAGUUUGGUAGUCUCAACCAAAGCCGUAGUGAAAACUAAUCCACACAAAAAGCAUGCUACACAGCCUAGCACAGCUGGUAGUCUCUUUUCAACAGAGGUCCAAAGCUGAAAUACUGAGGCUGGUUUCCAGUCACAACAGAGGAGUAUUUGCAGAUUUAUGUGAGGAAUGUGACAUGCUGAGUGGGGCUGUGGGGAGCAUAAACUGCAAAAUGAAUCAUCGUUAUCUUCACCUGUCCUGUGGACUAGUUAAAUCCCUGAAUCACAGGUGGAGGAAUUUCUAUAAGCUGAUGAGGUACUGCAGAAUCAUAUUGUUUAUAUACACUUUACUUGCAUCACUGGUUUUGAUUAUAUUUAGACUUGAAGAAUUUUUAGUAACCAGGACAAUGCUGAAAAUUACUCUCUGCUACAUGUAAUGAAUCCAUCAUGGCAAAAGCUAUACAUGAAGUAGCCCAUUUUUGUCAUCAUCAUUACAGGGCAGACGUGUACUGAUGAGUGCAGAGCCCUUCUGACCUCAUGCUGAGCUAAGCUCCAGAUGCACAGAAGCCUCUCUUUAGACCAGACCAAGGGCCCCCGCCUGGAUGCCUGAGGGUUACACUGCUGGACACAUGGCAGUAUGCUCCUGGGCUUGGUCCAGACAAAGCUGUCAUCUUCACCAAAAUUUCUUGCUCUGCUUUUUCUACCAAGGCUCAGAAGCAAACGUGCUCUUUUGUCCAGCUGAGGACAACAACCAGCCACGCAUAUUUUAGGCUAAUUUAAAUGCUUUUUGGCAAAGCUAAUUCAGGUGGAAGCCCUUUCUGGAUUUCAUCCCUAUGCAUUUUGACCUCUGUAGAGACUGUGCUCCAUUGUCCGUAAGUGUGUCCAAACCCAGCAGACUAUCACUUCUGGAUCUUAAGGAAGGCACAAAUAGAAGUGAUUGAGACCUUCUGAAUUCAAGACGUGAAAGAGCAAGACUCUUUCUGCAGGCUAUAUGCUGUAGACAGGAUCAAUUCGUGCAGGAGCGGAGACAAAAUUGUACCUAAUUUUAAUUCAGUUAUGAUCACAGUCACCAAUCUUUUGAUAGAAACUGGUUCAUCAGAAAGGCAAGUUCUAAAGUAGAACAAAGGAACAGAGCACCACCGGUCUGAAGUUCUAGUUUCCAACUCUUUCAGUGUCUCUAUAAGAUCAGGAAAGUCAGGUAGCUUGUGUUAAAUGUUUGCUUACCAUUGUAAAGAAUAAGCAUACUGAGGAAUUUCUCCAAAUUUUCCAAAUGUGGAAGUGAUUUUCAUAGGUGUCAGAGGUCAACAGGCUAUUAUAAAACCAACAACAGAGAAAAGAGGAAAGUUAAAACUUUGGACAGCAUAAACGUACAGAAAACUUAUAUGGAAGUAUUUCGUCAUAAAACCUAGCCCAAGCAGACAGGAACGUUAGCAGUUGAAAUACUAUGCUAAAACAGAAGCAAGACAAAAUAUGCCAAAAUUCAGAAUGCACCACACACAGGCAUGGAUUUCUGAACCAUCCUCUCGUUCUUCUGCUUCUACUCCUUCUUCCAUCCUUUCACUAACAGCACUGCAAAAGUACUAGGCAAGACAGAAAGCUGACUUUCCUUUCACCAUUUUCCUUUUUCCCUCUGUGAAAGUGCAAGCUCUGUGUUUUUGUUUUUUUUUUUUGUUUUCAUGUGUGUGUUUGUUAGUUGUUGUUGUUUUUUUGUUUUGUUUAAGAAUACUUUCUGGUUUUGUUUGACACAAAAGUAAAAAAUUGAAGGAUUUUUUUCAUUGUGGUUUUCUAACAUUCUAGGACACAUCAAGUACUUAAUAGCAAAAUGCCUUCUGUUGGUACUCAGAGCACAAAGAGAAACAUUUCAAGGGAGCUACAUGGCUUCUACAAGAUGAAGACCCAUACGUGCCCCUCAGCCCAGUCCCCCAGUGCUUCUGCAGCCUCCUGUGGGCUGCUGGCCCAGCUGUGCAGACCACUUUAUAGCAGGAUUCAAAGCAAAGCAUUGUGCACAAAAUAUUUGCAUCCCCAUCUACAGGAAAGACACUUUUCCCUUCUCACAUAAGUCCAAAGGAAGGCCCAUACCAGUGGAAAAAGCUUGCCCUGAACCAUACACAGGGCAUAGGUGCACCACAGCACUGGUAGCUUGCACUUUAGUGGCAGGCUCUGUACGUGGAGAAAUAGGAAUGUGCCUCCAGCUUUCUCUCCUGUGGAGGUGGCAGCAGGUCCCAGCUGGCCCCAGCUUAUACUCAGGCUGUGGAGGAGGUGUUUAGUUGUUCAGUGGACUACUUUACAGAGACUCCCAUACUGAACAUUACUUUCACUAACUCCGUAAGAUUUUGAGAUCAUUUUCAGCAAAUUCUGGAUUUGGGCUGACAUUCACAAUUCCUUCCUUGCACUGCAUAUAAUGUAAUGAUACUCUGGUAAACGUAUUAUUCUUUUCACCUGGCCAUAUUUCCUUUCCAAACCAAUCAUAUAACAGAAAUCAUUUCAGCUUUCUAGAUUAUUGCCUGACAAAACUGUGGUGGCCAUCUGAAGAAAAUUGACAUUACAGCUUCUCUCUAGUUUGGAUUUCUUUUUUUUUUCUUCUUUUUUUUUUUCUUUUCUUCUUUUUCCUUUUCUUUUUUUUUUCCCCCCCCUUUGGUUUGGAUGCUCUCUGAAAUGCCAAGCAAAAUUGCAUUAUCAGCUGCACCACAGUACAUACAUUGUUGUUCCCAAAGGUUUACUUAUAACGUUCACAGUACCAUUUAUUUUUUUUUCCUUUCCCCCCAUUGUCAUUUCUGUACAGAUUUAAUACAACAGAAACAUGGCUUCCACUGGGAGCUACAGGUAGAGCAGUUCCAAAGUUCUCUAUAAUUGGUGCCUGCCAUGGCUGCUCACAGUAAGUUAUGUAAAUCACAGCAAGGACCCACAACCCCUAAAGGCAUGAAUAUUUUUUUCAUUCAGUGCAGAGAAUAACUACAGAAUCUUAGUAAUAGUCCCCUCCACAUCAGGGAUCUCCUUACCAGACAGAGUCAAGGUCUAGAAACUGGCCAUGUCAAUUCUGCAAUUUAAAUCCUGCUGUUAAAGAUGGUUUGGUAGGUAUUACAGUAGGUCAAGGCAUUGUAGGCAAUAUUAAUUUUUAGGAUGAGCUUUCCCUUCUUAGCUCUUAGAAACCCACCUGUUUCUGUUUACAUACAUUGUAGUAACUCCAGCAGACCUCAGAUUUGAUUUUUUUUUUCCCCUAUAAAAACUCUUUAAUUUAAAAUGAAAUGAGAGGCUGUCAGGGUUUCAUUCUGAAAAUGAAGGAAUAACUCCACUGAUUUCUCUUGCAUUAACUAUAUUUUCUAUCAAGGUAUUUUAGUCAAAAUCGUUCCUUCCUAGCGAUGAUAAGCAAGGUUACUAUUAAAUCCAUUUCUUUUAAAAUACUACUACCAGCAUGAGAAUUUUCAGACUAAAUAUGAUGUCAACUCCUGUGCUCUUUUCAUUUUUAAUUUCUCCCACAAAUCUUGCAUUUAUGGUUCAUACACGGCAGUUUAUGUACUAUUUGUUAGGUAACUGAAUGGAUCCUUAAGACACAAUAAAAGUCUACUAUUAUUGGGAAAAGAAGAUUUC
rnacentral:lncRNA from 1 species